rnacentral:tRNA from 1 species
CGCCGUCCGGGCAGCCGGUACGCGCUGCCUCGUCGUACGCGUCGACACCUCCGACGAGGCAGACGUGGAGCGGCUGUUCGACACGGCCGCCGAUGA